UGCGAUGUCUUAAUCCAUUCG
rnacentral:piRNA from 1 species